CCUACGGGCGGCAGCAGUGAGGAAUAUUGGUCAAUGGACGAGAGUCUGAACCAGCCAAGUAGCGUGAAGGAUGACUGCCCUAUGGGUUGUAAACUUCUUUUAUAUGGGAAUAAAAUGUUCCACGUGUGGGAUUUUGUAUGUACCAUAUGAAUAAGGAUCGGCUAACUCCGUGCCAGCAGCCGCGGUAAUACGGAGGAUCCGAGCGUUAUCCGGAUUUAUUGGGUUUAAAGGGAGCGUAGGUGGAUUGUUAAGUCAGUUGUGAAAGUUUGCGGCUCAACCGUAAAAUUGCAGUUGAAACUGGCAGUCUUGAGGACAGUAGAGGUGGGCGGAAUUCGUGGUGUAGCGGUGAAAUGCUUAGAUAUCACGAAGAACUCCGAUUGCGAAGGCAGUUCACUGGACUGCAACUGACACUGAGGCUCGAAAGUGUGGGUAUCAAACAGGAUUAGAUACCCGAGUAGUC
rnacentral:rRNA from 1 species